GACGAACGCUGGCGGCGUGCCUAAUACAUGCAAGUCGAACGCAGUGGGGACGGGUGAGUAACAAGUGGGUAACCUCCCAGCAGAGGGGAUAACACUUGGCAACAGGUGCUAAACCGAUACUGAUGGAUGGACCAGAGGUGCAGUAGCUAGUUGGUGAGGUAACGGUGCACCAGGGCCACGAUGCAUAGCCGACCUGGGAGGGUGAUCGGCCACACUGGGACUGAGACACGGCCCAGCCUCCUACGGGAGGCAGCAGUAGGGAAUCUUCGGCAAUGGACGAAAGUCUGACCGAGCAACGCCGCGUGGGUGAAGAAGGGUUUCGGAUCGUAAAACUCUGUUGUUAGCGAAGCGUUAUCGAACCAGAAAGCCACGGCUAACUACGUGCCAGCAGCCGCGGUAAUUC
rnacentral:rRNA from 1 species